rnacentral:rRNA from 1 species
CCUACGGGUGGCUGCAGUGAGGAAUAUUGCUCAAUGGGGGAAACCCUGAAGCAGCAACGCCGCGUGGAGGAUGAAGGUUUUAGGAUUGUAAACUCCUUUUGUUAGAGAAGAUUAUGACGGUAUCUAACGAAUAAGCACCGGCUAACACCGUGCCAGCAGCCGCGGUAAUACGGAGGGGGCAAGCGUUACUCGGAAUAAAUGUGCGUAAAGAGUGCGUAGGCGGGGUAAUAAGUCGGAUGUGAAAUCUUGUAGCUUAACUACAGAACUGCAUUUGAAACUGCUACUCUGGAUUGUGGGAAAGUUAGCUGAAUUCUUGGUGUAGGGGUAAAAUCCGUAGAGAUCAAGAGGAAUACUCAUUGCGAAGGCGACUUGCUGGAACAUUACUGACGCUGAUGCACGAAAGCGUGGGGAGCAAACAGGAUUAGAUACCCUAGUAGUC